GUUAUUUAUGUGACCAUGGAAACUAGUGAAUUCGGCAUGGCUAAAACGUCAAACUAGUGAACACGUGCAUUUAUCAUCGAAUUCGCAGAGCCCAAAUCUAAAAAACCAUCAACCGUUCGGGAUGAAUCGGGUGAAGGUUUCUGCACUGAACGAAAUCUCCCGCCAUGAAAUGAAUGAUUUGUAAUUCACUGGUCUAUAAAUCUUAACAUUCCUCAUUUUGAAUGAAUAUUCAAGUAUAUGAUGAAACUACCGAAAAUUGAACAAAAAUCAUCCAAUUCUGUGAUGACUUUUGUUAUACAUCCGUAUGACAUUAAGUAAACAUUUGAAUUAUACUAACACAAAUAAAAAACAUCCAACUUAUGACGGAUUUUAGUUUCUACCAUGUCCCAAAUCGAAAAUCAUUCAAUUGCCGUCUGACAAAACAUACAGAAAGCGUACGAUGAUAGUUGUCAAAUUAUUCUUCUGAAUCGUAGUGUAAAUAUGGCGGCAGCAGCGUAUUGACUCCGGAACUCCUGAUUGAAUUUAACAGGCUUCAUAAAUCACUGAUAUGCACAUAAUCCGAAUGGGAUCGUGGAGUUUCUGGAGUCAAACAUGAGGCAACUGUUCUUGGCGAUAUCAAUGUUCUAGAUACUUUUCCAAAUCAAGUUAAAUAAUCAUACAUUGAAUUAAAUACGUCUUAUGUAGAA